CGAGUUCUGAUUAUUGAAAGGUGCUUGCAUCUUGAUUUAAUUUUGAACGAGUGGCGGACGGGUGAGUAACACGUGGGUAACCUGCCCUUAAGUGGGGGAUAACAUUUGGAAACAGAUGCUAAUACCGCAUAAAUCCAAGAACCGCAUGGUUCUUGGCUGAAAGAUGGCGUAAGCUAUCGCUUUUGGAUGGACCCGCGGCGUAUUAGCUAGUUGGUGAGGUAACGGCUCACCAAGGCAAUGAUACGUAGCCGAACUGAGAGGUUGAUCGGCCACAUUGGGACUGAGACACGGCCCAAACUCCUACGGGAGGCAGCAGUAGGGAAUCUUCCACAAUGGACGCAAGUCUGAUGGAGCAACGCCGCGUGAGUGAAGAAGGCUUUCGGGUCGUAAAACUCUGUUGUUGGAGAAGAAUGGUCGGCAGAGUAACUGUUGUCGGCGUGACGGUAUCCAACCAGAAAGCCACGGCUAACUACGUGCCAGCAGCCGCGGUAAUACGUAGGUGGCAAGCGUUAUCCGGAUUUAUUGGGCGUAAAGCGAGCGCAGGCGGUUUUUUAAGUCUGAUGUGAAAGCCCUCGGCUUAACCGAGGAAGUGCAUCGGAAACUGGGAAACUUGAGUGCAGAAGAGGACAGUGGAACUCCAUGUGUAGCGGUGAAAUGCGUAGAUAUAUGGAAGAACACCAGUGGCGAAGGCGGCUGUCUGGUCUGUAACUGACGCUGAGGCUCGAAAGCAUGGGUAGCGAACAGGAUUAGAUACCCUGGUAGUCCAUGCCGUAAACGAUGAAUGCUAGGUGUUGGAGGGUUUCCGCCCUUCAGUGCCGCAGCUAACGCAUUAAGCAUUCCGCCUGGGGAGUACGACCGCAAGGUUGAAACUCAAAGGAAUUGACGGGGGCCCGCACAAGCGGUGGAGCAU
rnacentral:rRNA from 2 species